CUCCGGGCAGAGCGCGUGUGGCGGCCGAGCACAUGGGCCCGCGGGCCGGGCGGGCUCGGGGCGGCCGGGACGAGGAGGGGCGACGACGAGCUGCGAGCAAAGAUGUGCCCCGGGACCCCCGGCACCUUCCAGUGGAUUUCCUUGCGGAAAGGAUGUUGGCGGUCCCUGUGACCUGUGGAGACACGGCCAGAUCUGCCCUCCAGCCUGAUCUUUUGGCCAGAAGGAGAUUAAAAAGAUGCCCCUCAAGAUGGCUGUGCCUGUCAGCUGCAUGGAGCUUCGUUCAAGUAUUUUCUGAGCCUGAUGGAUUUACAGUGAUCUUCAGUGGUCUGGGGAAUAACGCUGGUGGAACCAUGCACUGGAAUGACACACGCCCGGCACAUUUCAGGAUACUAAAAGUGGUUUUAAGGGAGGCUGUGGCUGAAUGCCUCAUGGAUUCUUACAGCUUGGAUGUCCAUGGGGGACGAAGGACUGCAGCUGGCUGAGAGGGUUGAGAUCUCUGUUUACUUAGAUCUCUGCCAACUUCCUUUGGGUCUCCCUAUGGAAUGUAAGACCCCGACUCUUCCUGGUGAAGCAUCUGAUGCACGUUCCAUCCGGCGCUCAGCUGGGCUUGAGCUGACCAUACUCCCUGGAGCCUUCUCCCGAGGUGCGCGGGUGACCUUGGCACAUACAGCCAUCAUGAUGGUACUUUAAGUGGAGGCUGAAUCAUCUCCCCUUUGAGCUGCUUGGCACGUGGCUCCCUUGGUGUUCCCCUUUUACUGCCAGGACACUGAGAUUUGGAGAGAAUCCUGUUACACCUGGGAUUUAGGCACUUUCAAUCUGAAAAAAUACAUAUCCUUUCAGCACUCUGGACGGACUUGAGAACUGUCCUUACGUGACCUAAAGCUGGAGUAUUUUGAGAUUGGAGAAUUAAGGCCAACAGAGAUUUUGAGAAACACAUUGAAGGAUCUGUUAACACUUGAUAUACCCAAUAAAAGCAGUGGUUGUGCCAGUGCUGAUCUGUCUUGAUGUGAAUGUGAACAAUGGGAACCUGAGCUGAGCAGUUAAUGUUAGGGUGACAGAAACUGGACCUCUCCCAAGACAUGUGACAGAGUAAUACAGCAGCCAACUUCUUCGCCAAAUUAAAGUUUUACAAGAUUUAACCUGUCAUCAAGACCUGGGAUUUUGGUGAAGGACAGAAUAACGGGCUCCCAGAUUCACAAGCCCCACCAAGAGGAUCACCCCAGGAAUGCUUGGAGGCUGAGGAGUUCACUGAGGCUACUGCAUCUUGAGACUCAGGAUGAAGACCCAGCUUGGGGCUGUCAAAGGUUUUUUGCAUGUCUGACACCCAUGACUCCACCUGGACCUUAUGGCUCCACCCAGAAGCAAUUCAGCCCAACAGGAGGACAGCUUCAACCCAUUACGAUUUCAUCUCUGCCCCAACCACUCAGCAGCAAGCACCUGUUACCUGUCCAUCCCCACCCCUUCCCCCAAACUGCCUUUGAAAAAUCCCUAACCUAUGAGCUUUGAAUAAGAUGAGUACGAACUUCAUCGCCCAUGUGGCGUGGCCGGCCUCGUGUCUAUUAAAUUCUUUUUCUACUACAA
rnacentral:sRNA from 1 species